GCUUUAUGGUAAAGCAUUAUAUUAAUUUAUGAUGCAGUAUAAAUUAAAAUUUUCUGGUUCUUCUACACCUGGGAACAUUUGAUUGCAUUUUCAGAUUAAAUUUCUUUUAUAGUUAGAAAUCCAAUGGCAAUUCAUAGAUUAAGAAUAAAUUUUGCUCUUCUGGGGAUGGUGUCCAGAGGCCAUCAGAGUGGUUCAGUGUUUGUUAUAUCAGAGGUUUUUCUGCAACACAACCUCUAACAAAACCAGGCUAACCCAAACCCCUGGCAACAGAAUUAUGUACCUUUACACCAAGAAGAUCAGGAAAGCAUCAAAUCUGCAUGUGGUGUGUACUCCAGGCUGACUGGUGGGGCGAGGGUGCUUUGAGACCUAAAUCCUCAUGUAAUUGUCUAAAACAAAACAACCAC